rnacentral:rRNA from 1 species
AUCAUUAUUGGUUAUUGUACUUUUAUUGAUUUAAUUGUUUUGUGCUAUAGAUUAUUUGUACCGUGAGGGGUUCGAUUGUUUUAAUGUUUUUUUAGAAGUUGAUUUUGUUUGUUGUACCUUGUGUAUCAGGGUUCAUUGAAUUUUAUUAUUUAUUUUUUAUUUCCCGAUUUUGAAGGAGUUAAUGGUUUAUGUUAGUUACUGUUUCAUUAGUAUUAAUAAUAUUCUGUUGGUAGUGAAAUGUUAUUCGUCUUUGGUGGUCUCUGGUUUUUCAAGAAAUGAAUUUAAUUCAUGCGCCUUAUUUAAUUUUUGUUGUUCUUUUAAAUGGUUUUAUUAGGUGUUAAGAUUAAGGGGGAUUAGCUCCUUAUUCUAUUCUUAUAAUUUUUUAUUUUAUUUAGUUUUGUGGAUUUUAUAUUGAUUUUCAAUUUGAUUAUGUUAAAAUUUUAUUUUGUUUAUUUGUUUAUUUGUUUUAUGUUUAAGUUCUUUAUUGAAAUGUUUUUUUUGCUGUUGUUAUGAAUGGUAAUUAUUAUGUAAUUAGUAAAUCUUUUUUAUUAUUUCGUUGAGUUUUUGGUGUUAAAUUCUUCUGAGGAAUUAGGCAAAAGUUUUCAUGUCCGCCUGUUUAUCAAAAACAUCUUUUCUCGUUAGUUUUUGAAGUAUGGCCUGCCCACUGACGUUUAUUUUAGUUGAAGGGCCGCGGUAUUUUGACCGUGCAAAGGUAGCAUAAUCAUUAGUUCUUUAAUUGUGAUCUGGUAUGAAUGGCUUGACGAGACAUGAGCUGUCUUAGGUUGAUGGAAUCGGUUUUGUUGAAUUUGGUUUUUGAGUUAAAAUUCUUAAAUGUUUUUAUGGGACGAGAAGACCCUAUAGAGUUUGACAUUUAUCUUAUUCUUAAUUAAUUUGUUUGUUUUGUUAGUUGAUUAUUUUAAUGUGUUUUGUUGGGGUGAUGGGAGGAAGAUUUAUUAACUCCUCUUUAUUUUUAUAUAUUUAUGUAUAUUUAUUUGAUCCAUUUUUUGUGAUUAUAAGAUUAAAUUACCUUAGGGAUAACAGCGUUAUCUCCCUUGAGAGUUCUUAUUGGCGGGGAGGUUUGCGACCUCGAUGUUGGAUUAAGAUGAAUUUCCGGUGUAGGAGCUGGAAAAUUGAUUGGGUCUGUUCGACCUUUAAAAUCUUACAUGAUCUGAGUUCAGACCGGCGUGAGCCAGGUUGGUUUCUAUCUAUAGUAGUUUUUUAUACCUUAGUACGAGAGGACCGGGUAUUUGGAAUAAUUUUGUUUUAUCUUCGAUU